GACGAACGCUGGCGGCGUGCCUAAUACAUGCAAGUAGGACGCAGUUGCGAACGGGUGAGUAACGCGUAGGUAACUACCUAUUAGAGGGGGAUAACUAUUGGAAACGAUAGCUAAUACCGCAUACUAGUAGAUGGACCUGCGUUGUAUUAGCUAGUAGGUAGGGUAAUGGCCUACCUAGGCAACGAUACAUAGCCGACCUGGAGAGGUGAUAGGCAAAACUGGGAAUGGGACACGGCCCAGACUCCGACUGGGGGCAGCAGGAGGGAAUCUUCGGCAAAGGGGGGAACCCUGGACGAGCAACGCCGCGGGGGUGAAGAAGGUUUUCGGAUCGGAAAGCUCUGUUGUGAAGGAAGCGGUACUUAACCAGAAAGGGACGGCUAACUACGUGCCAGCAGCCGCGGUAAUUC
rnacentral:rRNA from 1 species